UAGGGAAUCUUCGGCAAUGGACGAAAGUCUGACCGAGCAACGCCGCGUGAGUGAAGAAGGUUUUCGGAUCGUAAAACUCUGUUGUUAGAGAAGAACAAGGACGUUAGUAACUGAACGUCCCCUGACGGUAUCUAACCAGAAAGCCACGGCUAACUACGUGCCAGCAGCCGCGGUAAUACGUAGGUGGCAAGCGUUGUCCGGAUUUAUUGGGCGUAAAGCGAGCGCAGGCGGUUUCUUAAGUCUGAUGUGAAAGCCCCCGGCUCAACCGGGGAGGGUCAUUGGAAGCUGGGAGACUUGAGUGCAGAAGAGGGGGGUGGAAUUCCGUGUGUAGCGGUGAAAUGCGUAGAUAUAUGGAGGAACACCAGUGGCGAAGGCGGCUCUCUGGUCUGUAACUGACGCUGAGGCUCGAAAGCGUGGGAAGCAAACAGG
rnacentral:rRNA from 1 species